GAUGAACGCUGGCGGCGUGCCUAAUACAUGCAAGUCGAGCGAAUGGAUUAAGAGCUUGCCCUUAUGAAGUUAGCGGCGGACGGGUGAGUAACACGUGGGUAACCCGCCCAUAAGACUGGGAUAACUCCGGGAAACAGGGGCUAAUACCGGAUAACAUUUUGAACCGCAUGGUUCGAAAUUGAAAGGCGGCUUCGGCUGUCACUUAUGGAUGGACCCGCGUAGCAUUAGCUAGUUGGUGAGGUAACGGCUCACCAAGGCAACGAUGCGUAGCCGACCUGAGAGGGUGAUCGGCCACACUGGGACUGAGACACGGCCCAGACUCCUACGGGAGGCAGCAGUAGGGAAUCUUCCGCAAUGGACGAAAGUCUGACGGAGCAACGCCGCGUGAGUGAUGAAGGCUUUCGGGUCGUAAAACUCUGUUGUUAGGGAAGAACAAGUGCUAGUUGAAUAAGCUGGCACCUUGACGGUACCUAACCAGAAAGCCACGGCUAACUACGUGCCAGCAGCCGCAGUAA
rnacentral:rRNA from 1 species